AGUGAACGCUGGCGGUAGGCCUAACACAUGCAAGUCGAACGGCAGCACAGUAAGAGCUUGCUCUUACGGGUGGCGAGUGGCGGACGGGUGAGGAAUACAUCGGAAUCUACUUUUUCGGGGGGGAUAACGUAGGGAAACUUACGCUAAUACCGCAUACGACCUACGGGUGAAAGCAGGGGAUCUUCGGACCUUGCGCGAUUGAAUGAGCCGAUGUCGGAUUAGCUAGUUGGCGGGGUAAAGGCCCACCAAGGCGACGAUACGUAGCUGGUCUGAGAGGAUGAUCAGCCACACUGGAACUGAGACACGGUCCAGACUCCUACGGGAGGCAGCAGUGGGGAAUAUUGGACAAUGGGCGCAAGCCUGAUCCAGCCAUACCGCGUGGGUGAAGAAGGCCUUCGGGUUGUAAAGCCCUUUUGUUGGGAAAGAAAAGCAGCAGGUUAAUACCCCGCUGUUCUGACGGUACCCAAAGAAUAAGCACCGGCUAACUUCGUG
rnacentral:rRNA from 1 species